rnacentral:misc_RNA from 1 species
GCCUCGCCAUCUUUCGGAUUUCCUCAAUCUCUUCAUAGAAUUCAGCAUUCUCAAACUGCUGAUUCUGAAACUGCUCUGCUAGUGCUAAUUUACCAUCAACUUCCCUUGCUUUCUUUAUGCUGCUCAUAAUUUCUUGCUUAUUGAGCCAAGGCCUUUCGAGAGACAUGUUAUCUGGCUCUAUGGUACCCCGGAUAACUUCCAUCUCACCUUUCGCGGUCUUCUCCUUCUCCUU